GAGUUUGAUCUUGGCUCAGGAUGAACGCUGGCGGCGUGCCUAAUACAUGCAAGUCGAGCGAACGGACGAGAAGCUUGCUUCUCUGAUGUUAGCGGCGGACGGGUGAGUAACACGUGGAUAACCUACCUAUAAGACUGGGAUAACUUCGGGAAACCGGAGCUAAUACCGGAUAAUAUUUUGAACCGCAUGGUUCAAAAGUGAAAGACGGUCUUGCUGUCACUUAUAGAUGGAUCCGCGCUGCAUUAGCUAGUUGGUAAGGUAACGGCUUACCAAGGCAACGAUGCAUAGCCGACCUGAGAGGGUGAUCGGCCACACUGGAACUGAGACACGGUCCAGACUCCUACGGGAGGCAGCAGUAGGGAAUCUUCCGCAAUGGGCGAAAGCCUGACGGAGCAACGCCGCGUGAGUGAUGAAGGUCUUCGAAUCGUAAAACUCUGUUAUUAGGGUAAGAACAUAUGUGUAAGUAACUGUGCACAUCUUGACGGUACCGUAAUCAGAAAGCACGGCUAACUACGUCG
rnacentral:rRNA from 1 species